GCUAUAGCUCAGCUGGGAGAGCGCUUGCAUGGCAUGCAAGAGGUCAGCGGUUCGAUCCCGUCAUC
rnacentral:tRNA from 2 species